ensembl:lncRNA
GCCUGGGCGCCGAGCCGCGCGCUCGCCCGCGAGGAUCCAAGCGCGCCGCCGGAGCUGCAGCCGCAGUCUGAAUAGUACGGCACCGCGGCGAUCCGGGAGCCGGGAGCAAGGAGCUGGACCGGAGCGGAACACACAAGCUAUGGGAAUUAUGGCUUCCUUCUAUGCCCAGAGGUGCCUAGCGAUCAUCUUGGACUCCAUCUACCUACUGGGUUAAGAAUCCUCCCCAAAGCUCGGUGUGUGUGUUGCAUGCCUGAAAUCCCAGCACUCUGGGAGGCUAAUGCAGGAGGAUUACAAGUUCGAGCCCAGCCUGGGUGACUUGGCUAGAACUUGAAAAAAGUCUGGAAUCAUUGUGAAGACACAGAGGACACAGAAACACUGAGCAGACUAUUAAGACCAGGAGAGACUGUGUUGUUUGAAGGACUGUGCCAGGCCCACUCACAGCCCCCAGCAGAAGGACCAGUGGGAAAGUGGCUGUGCUCCUCAUUCCUGAACCCUCCCCAAAAGCCUCAUUGUGAAUCAGUCUGCCCUGGGUGAGGGCCCACCCUGGCUGUGGCAGCCACACCCUUGGAAGAGGGGCAUAGAAAGCCUGGGAAUCAGGGCAACCCAG